AUCAGAGCUCCAAUAGUGGACCAUCAACCAUGGAAUGAUCCUGAGGGAAGCUGGCCAACGGGUUCAGCCUAACUUGAGCCGCUACACUGUAGCAAGCAUCAUAAGGACAUUUCGAAAUGAGAAUCGAAUUGCUAGACGUCCAGAUGCUGGGGGCAGAGGAAGAAUGUUCACUGCAGAACAAGACCCAUAUAGUCAAUAUGAAUCCGAAUGAAAAAAAUCUACAGAGUCCCUUUUGAAAGAAACAGUGAACGUGUAAAACAACUGCGAUAUGACUAUGUGCAGAGAGUGAUGGGUCAUGAGCAGCUUUCUGUGGAUGAGGCAGGUUUUAACCUCACUAAAACAAGCAGAUGUGGCAGGAACAUUAUUGGACACUGAGCCAUAAUCAAUGUCCUAGGACAACGUGGUGGUAACAUAACUAUGUGUGCAGCUAUAAGUCAAAAUGGUGUUGUUCACCAUCAUGCAACCCUAGGCCCAUAUAACACUGCACAAAUUAUUACAUUCCUGGACACCUUACAUGACAUGCUCACUAAUGUUCAGAGACCAGAGCAGACCAGAUACGUCAUCAUAUGGGACAAUGUUAGUUUCCAUAGGGCUGCUUUGGUCCGCAACUGGUUUACAGAUCACCCACUCUUCACUGUACUCAACCUCGCUCCAUACUCUCCAUUCUUGAAUCCAAUUGGAGAGUUCUUCUCUGCCUGGCACUGGAAGGUCUAUGACCGUCAUCCCCAUCAACGCAUAGCCCUUUUACAGGCAAUGGAGGAGGCAUGUGGGGAUAUUGACCAGGCAUCAUGUCAGGCCUGGGUACGGCAUUCCAGAAGAUAUUUUCCCCGGUGCCUUAGACUAGAGGACAUUGCAUGUGAUGUAGAUGAAAUUUUGUGGCCAGACCCAGAGAGACGACACGAUAUAGACUGAUUUAAAAAAAAAAUUACUAUUUUGUGUUUUGACUUGGA